GCAAGUCGAACGGUAACAUUUCUUGCUUGCAAGAAGAUGACGAGUGGCGCACGGGUGCGUAACGCGUAUGCAAUCUACCUCUAACAGGGGGAUAGCCCGAAGAAAUUCGGAUUAAUACCCCAUAAUAUAUUUACCUCGCAUGGGGUUGAAUAUUAAAGUUUCAACGGUUAGAGAUGAGCAUGCGUGACAUUAGCUAGUUGGUAAGGUAACGGCUUACCAAGGCAACGAUGUCUAGGGGGUCUGAGAGGAUUAUC
rnacentral:rRNA from 1 species